UGGUUUGGCUUGGUUUGGUUUGGUUUGGUUUGUUGGUCAGUCCUGUAGAAUAAUCAUUCACACCUUUCACUGACUUUCAAGAAUUGAAAUGGAGAGCACAGCUCCUGAUUUAUGAAGCCAAUGCUAUCUUGAAGAAGAACCAGAAGAAAUCGGAAGAAACUACUCCAAUAAUCCCCAACAAAUAACGACAAAAGCUAACAGCGCAGAGAAGAACAAAGGUAAGUUCAAUAAAGAGCAAUCAGCAGUUUGAAGCCAGAUGAGAAACUCCACUCCCGGCCAAGGCCACUGUGGAAUGUGGAUUGAGGUGUCAUUGUAACAGGAAGGAGCUGUCAAGAGGAACUAUGGCCCUCAGAAGAUGUGGGUUAUUUCAUUGUCAGUUCUGCUAAUAUGAUAUAGUGGACGUGUGAUGCAUGUUCGAGAAAAAUUUAAGUUAGACAUCAUCUUUCAGCCUGGUGACAUCAAAUUCUGAACAGGAAAGACGUAAGUUGUAGAGCAUGGAUGUCCCAGGCAAGGCUUCUAUGGUUGGGUCCUGAGGAAGGCCUACCCGUGAGGAGGACAACACGUUAGUGCAUCCACAGAUGCUGGAAAUAACCCAGGAAGCUCCUGGGUAUCUCUCACAGGCACCUGCCUUGGAGAUGCUGUCUCAUUUCAGGAGUGCAACACAACCUUUCGGCUGGAGACUGACAGAGAUUAAGGUUGCCUUAAAAACCACAUUAGGGAACAUGAAACGUGGAGUCGAAUCUUGAGCAGAGACAUCCCCACAGAGUCUUCUGCAGUGCUUCUCAUCGUCCUUCCAUUGUGUUUGUUAUAGAAAAGAUGAUGUUGAAGACUGAUGCAAUGUUUCGCUGAUCAGCACACAUGCAUGUACACAUAACCUUACAUUUCUUUUAUAAGAUUACAUAGAGACUGUAGUUUGUGGACUGUAUGAAUUGAGGUUUUUGUAAAUAAAAUUAAAUUGUAUAUAUAAUAUACACUUCACGUUCUAGGGAACGAGUAAAUGUAUUUUGAA
rnacentral:sRNA from 1 species